ensembl:lncRNA
GGGUCAUCGAUGGAGCCUGUGGACCAAAGGGACACACUGGGCAGAGAAGAGGAGCUGUACCAGGCAGUAUGAGGGUGGCUGAAGUGAAGAGAAAAUCGAUGGAGGUGAGGAAACAGGAGCCUACAGGUGCGGGCGUGAGGAUGUCCAUGUGGACAUUUAGGUUGCCCAGGAUGUUGAGAUGCAGAAAAAGACUGUGAACCAGCUGCCCAAGUCUGCACAAGAUGACGGGGACCUCUGGAUGGGAAGAAACCUCCAAGAGGGAAAGAGUAAGAGGAGCUGAGGUGAGUACCAGGAUCUACUCUGGAGCUGGGAGCCCAGCGAAGGCCAGCACGGUCUGAGGUAUGAAGCUUUCCUUCCAGCCUCCCUGUCUCUGUGGUCUGACUUGCGGAAAGGAGAAAAGCAAGCAGCCUGAGGGACUGAGAAAAGUGCUGAGGAGAGAUUUAGAGGUGAAGAAAGGUCAAAGAGAUAAGGAAAGAGAAAAAUCUAAGAGAGGAAAAAGCAGAAAAGAAACGUGGGAAGGAG